rnacentral:pre_miRNA from 1 species
UUAACUCAAAUAUGUAUGGAGUUGGAACUUUUGCCUAAGUUUGCCGCUAGGGGCGCUGUUCCAACUUCAUACAAAUUUGAGUUA